rnacentral:lncRNA from 1 species
UUUCUUUUUCUUUUUUUUUUUUGUGCUGGGACAAUAUUGGUCUUGGUUUUUCGUUGUCUUUUAGAUUGGUGGUUUGUUUGUUUGUUUGUUUGUUUUUGGCUGUGCCCACAGCAUGUGGAGAUUCCCAUGCCACCCACUGAACCCGCACCACAGCAGUCCACAACGCCAGAUCCUUAACCUGCUGAGCCUCCAGGGAACUCCCUAGACCAGUGGCUUUUAACCAAGGGCAAUUUCGCCCUUCAGGACACUUGGCAAUGUCUGAAGACAUUUUUGGUGGUCACGACUUGGGGGCAGCCUCUGUGCCAAGGGCAUCCAGUGGCCAGGGACCUGGGGAGCUGCCGAGUAUCGCAAAUGCCCAGCCCAGCCCCCCAAAUAAGGAAUUGUUCAGCCCGAAUUGUUCAUAGAGUUGGGGUUGAAAAACUCCACUUUAGAGGUGAAACGUGUUUUCUUCUUAAGGAGCACGCUGAGGUUAGAGGGAAGCGGAAGCAAAAGGCAAAUAUAAGGUGUUCCUGACUGCUGAGAAGUGAUGAUAGCACCCUCCCUGCUGACGUGCAGGAGGAGAAGCAACUACACAAGCCUCCAGAACCCAGGCUCUGGUCUGCCACCCAGGAGCUAUUUCAAUAACUGGAUUGCUCAACACAGUAGUUUGCAGCAGGAAGCAGAGGCUCUUGUCGUGGGACAGGCUGGAGGGGUAAUUGGUGGGGUUUAGAGGCCAAGGGCGGGAGGAGGGGGAAGCUGGGUCCUGCCAGAAUCAUUUUGAAAAGUUCUAGGGACUUUUCCAAAGGUGGUUUUGUUGAGGACACCGAGUGUCGGGCUUAGAAGGUACAGUGUCUGCCUCGGGAGCGCAGGGACCCUGGAGGCUGUUGGUCCGAGCCCGGCUUGGCUUCUGCUGUGUCCGGACACAGAGUGGAGAGGGAAGAGCACGGGGCUGGGUUCUCAGGUCGUCACUGGGUCCACCCGCAACCUUUCUCUCAAAGCAUUUUUUAGUAUGGAAAAUAUUAAACAUACACACAAAUGGAGAAAAGCAUACAGUGAACUCCUAUUUACCCAAUGCCCCCUUCACCAACUCUCGGCUCCCGUCCAGGCUUGAUCUAUACGCCACCCAUGUUAGACUCCCCCCCCCCGCCCCCUUUUUAAAAUCCAGAAAAUAGCUUAAAUAAUUACUGAUGGCCUGCCUAUCAGGGGAGGCUUUGGCAAUGAAGAUAAGUGAUUUUCCGGUGCUUGGUUCUCUCCAGGGAGAAGCUGAUAAUGGACAUGCAUGAUUAUAACAGCCGUGUGGGCCUGAGGGGUAGGCCUGGCACAUCGUGGGUGGAGGAGCUCAGGUUUUCACCGGUGAUCAGAGACAAGGCCCUUUCCUUUUCUUAAAAAAAACGUUUUUUUCCCCUGGUGAGACUAGUAACUUAACAUUUAUCGAACAGUUAUUAUGUGUCAACUCUUUGAGGCUCUUGAUGUAAAUAAACAUAUUUAGUUCUUUUAUUUUUUUUAUUUUUAUUUUUGUGUUUUAGGGCCGCACCCGUGGCAUAUGGAAGUGCCGAGGCUAGGGGGGUGGAAUCAGAGCUACAGCUGCUGGUCUACACCACAGCCACCAGGGGAUCUGAGCCGCAUCUGUGACCCACAGCACGGCUCAGGGCAACGCCGGAUCCCCGACCCACUGAGCGAGGCCAGGGACCAAACCUGCAUCCUCAAGGAUCCGAGUUGGAUUUGUUUCUGCUGUGCCCCCGUGGGAAGGCCUCCGUCCUUUGUGAUGAUCUGGCAGAGGAGGGGUUGAUAUCGUUCCCAUUUCACACACGGGAACGUUGAGAUGCAGAGUGGCAGUGGGCAGGUUCUGUGACAGAUGCCAGGGGUCCCGGCCUCCUGGGAUCUGUGCCUGGGCAGCGCUUUCUCCGGAGGGUGGGAUGGCCCUUGGGACAUGCUUCUAAUCGCACAGUGUGGGCCUUUCUUUUUAAACCUCUCGCGUGGAGAAGCCUCCUUCGAGGUCCCUGCCGGUAGAAAGGGUUUCUGGUUUCUGCCGUCCUGGGUCCUCUCGGUCUGGGGGGAGCUUCACCUGCAUGUUCCCUUUCAGAAUCACCCCUUUCCUGUGUCGGGACCCUCUGAGUACGUCCUCUGUAGCCCUCCUGCCUGGGCCUGGCUCCCCGCUGGGCUGGAAAGCGCAGGGCGGGGUGGGGGUGAGUUCUCUUUGGGCGCAGUUGCUCCCCCGCCUUUGAUCGUGGGUGGAGGGCUGUCCUGUUUCAGCCCCUGGCAGUCCACGCCCACUGGAGCUGGCACCGCAGUUUACACUUGGCAAACGGGACUUUUUUCUCCCAGCCAUGUCCCCUUGAGCUCCAGGAUUAAGUUUUUAGGCCGUGGAGAAUGGGCGUGCAUUUACAUGACUCAGUGCUGUGUUGUAACACACACACACACACACACACACACACACACACACACUGGCUUCUGAAGGCUGUGAGUUCUUGAAUAAUCAGAUAAUUGAUGUCUGUGCAUUUUCAUUAGUGCUGGUUUUUCUGCAAACAUCAACCCUCUGGACUCGGGUUCACCAGCAGCUCCGCGAGUGUGAAGACCCCGGCCCUGCCUGACUGUAUUUCCAUCUGUAUUUUACUUAUUAAAUGCAUCUUUACCCUCUGUUCUGCAAGGAGGUGUAGAAGGUAUGCGCUUAUGAAUAUCCUAUAUCCCGAUGGUAGAUUUUCACGUAGCCCGUCUUUCUCUGGGGAAGGCAGCUCCUGGUCUAUUAAUAAGAGUUAUCUACUCUGUGGCUCUAUUAUGCAUCGGGCAUUUUACUUCUAUUCCUUAGAACCCUUCCAGGUAGGAAUUCGUAUUCCCAGGUUGCAGAUGAGGAAACUGAGUUUUAGAGAGGUUAAGGAAUGCUAGGAGGUAGUGGUGAGUUUUAACUCAAAUUUGUUUGAUCCCAAAGCCCUAAUUCUUCCGCGAAGCCUUGUCUCUCAUGGUAAGAGUUGAUGGAGUUCGUACCAGGCUCGGUGAGGAUGAGGGCAGGUGCUGUGAAAGGGACCGAGGGUUCUGGUCACUCCAGCUGAUGAAAUCUUCACAUUGAACCCCUGGGAAAGAUGACUCUUGAGUGUGUGUGAUAAAUUACCUGUGUCCUAUUUUUGAGCUGGCGUAUAAAACAGAACUGCACACUGGUAGCCCUGAGCCAGAUUUGGUCAGCAGCUGUUUUAUUUUUUAAAAAUUGGAUUCGUUGUCAUCACUUCCAAAGUGGGAGACUGCCCACCACAACUUCCAAAUCUCCACAUUUCUUGGCUUCUCUUGAACCAUCAGAAGGUCUGGCAACUCUGGACCCACAUUCCUCCUUGGCAGUAGUUAGUUACAGUAGCUGCCCCUACUCUGAAUGUAGCAGAGACCCCCUCGUUGGCCAUCUUUCCCAUUCUGCCCUCUUCAUUCAUUUGUAUUACUUGCCAGGACUCCAAAGGAGUCAUUCGUUAGUGGCAUCCUUGUAGAGGUCACGCCCAUUCUCUCUGCCGGUGCCAGAGGUGUGUUGGUGGAGGCUUGUUCUAUAUCCGAAUUAAAGACCCCCAGCAUUUCCCCGUUUUUAGAGAGCCUGGAGAGGGUGACUCUACUUGGCUUGUGAACAGAUGCAUCUACCCCCUGUCCGUCUCCCAGCAAUGGCUCAUUGGACGCUGGAUGGGUUCUUGGACCAGGGAAGACCAAUCAGAUAUCUAGGAUCUAGACACCAAGCUGAGGGACUCAGGUGAGAAGAACUUGUUGAUUCAGGCUGAAAAUGUGAUGUGGAGGUGACUGAGUGAGCAAAGAAGCUGGAUGGUGAGUAGGUGAGAGACAGCGUGGCAGCAGAGACAGAGGCGCUACCCAGUCUCUGCUUUCACUCUACUUCCUGCAGUCAGGUUCCUCUGUGGCCACAGCUUUCAUUCAGUGACAUUUAUUGUGUACUUACCAUGGUGGCAGCCACCGCUUAGAUGCUUGUGAUACAUCAGCGAACAAAAACAGCCUAAAGUCCUGUUCUCAUAGAGUUUAUAUUUUGGUUGGCAAAAGCAGCACCAAGCAAAAAAACAAGUGAGUAUAAAAUAUGUCAGGUGGUGAUAAGUGCCAAGAAGGAAAAAAACUGGGUAAGGAGGCAUGCAGUGGGUAUGUGGGGUGGUGAUGUUGUGUUAGAGAGGCUGUUUGAAGAAGGCCUCCUGGCAAAGUGAUAUGUGAGCAGAGACAUGAAUGAAGUGAAAGGGUGAGAGCCACGAGGGACCCUAGGGGUGGAGCGGUUUAGCAAGUGCAGAGGUCCUGAGGUGGGAGUGUGCUUGCCCUGAGGAGGUUGUGGCUAUCCUGCCGCAAUCCUGGGAGAGGGAGGUGGAGAGAAUGAGAGCCUCGCAGCCAUGUUAAGACUUUGGAUUUUAUUCUAGUGACAGUGGAAGCCACUGGAAGGUUUUUGAGCACGAGUGACAUGGUCUGGCUUCUGUCUGAAAAAAUGUGAGCGUCACAUGGAGAGCAGACUGCAAGGCAGCUAAGGUGUAUGCAGGACAACUAGUUAGGAGGCUGUGCCAUAGUUAGAUGAAAUACACUGGUGGCUUGGACUAGGGUAGAGAUGGAGGUGGUAAGAAGUGGACAAGUUCUGAAUAGAUUUUGAAAAUAGAGUUGACAGGACGUGAUGAUGCCUUUGGUAUUGGAUAUGAGAGAGAGAGAGGAGUCAGGCUGAUCCCAGCCACUGAGUGUAAACGUUGCUGCAGUAGUUGGCACGUCCCCCUUUCUCACUUGAAAACCUUCAAAAGCGACAGGAAGGUGGAAAAUAAUGGAAAUCUCGUAAACUCCAUUUCUAGCCAAAUUAGGAGAGAAGUCUAAUCUGUAGCCUUCAGAAUGUGUGCAAAGACCGUCCCAAGUGGACGCCAUCAGGUGGAAGCCAUGUGGGAAGACAUGAAGGGAGGCAGCCUGGAGACGACGAGAGAGACCAGCAGCAGCAGAUCUUGGAAAGGACCGGGAAAGUCGUCUUCUUUAAGGUGAAAAGUAUUUCCUGAUGUGAAAAAGCUGUCUCCCUUGCUCGUGGCAGUUGUUGUGGAAACUGGGUGUAAGGCUGAUCGAAGAGCCCUCCUGACAAUGGUCCGAGUCACAGAAGCCCAGGAAGACCGGUUGGAUCAUCCCAUAGGCAAGCGCCACGUUUGCAGGAAGUUUCUGUCUGGCGACGAGGAAGAAGAGAGCCUUUGGGUUGUGAAAACAGCUUAUCUGGAGGAGUAUCCUGGCCGCCCUCCCCUCUCCCGCCUAGAGGAAACUCAUGCACAUACCGUAGCUGUCAAGGAAAAUGAACUCACUGGGGAUAACGAAGAAAGGAAACAGGAGACUCCUGCUUCUGACGGUGUUCUUUGGACCAGAGUUUUCACUAAAAAGUACUAAAAUGUUGGGAACAUUUUAAAAAAUUUAAAAUAGGAAAAACACUAAAGAGCUGAGAAGAGAAAGAAGAACCAUCGGGCCAAAAUCUAUGGUCAAGUGGGAGUGGAGCGAGAUGGGCCAACUGCUAGAACGCUGAAGUUGCUUUUGUCCUGAGAACGUUUGUGGAUUCUAAUAAAUAUGGGCUUUGGUUUUGGCAGCCUUUCAGGAGAAGGGGGUUAGAACUCAAGCUCAUGGCUUGCUCAGAGAGGAGAGUCUCACAGGAGACUGUCUCCAAACAAAGCUGGAACUAUUCAGGAUAGAGGGCAACCAGACGUAAAACCCGUGUUUCCACCUUAGGCAAUACAGGGAAGGUUGCUCAGGUACCGGGCAGAGUCAGAGUGGGGAGAAAAGGUAUGUUGUGGUCACUGGCUAGCCUUUGUACAGAUACUGAGGAUGGUUUUAUUUCCCCGUGGUUCAGAGAACCUCAAGCCAUGUGUCCCCCUCCCCCCAUCCCACCCCCUGACACCUGGAAGAAUCAAAAGAAUGAAAGGCGAAUCUUCUCUGGAAGAAGGCCACUUCCUCAUUUUCCACAGCCAAUGAGCAGUACUGUAAGAAAGAACAAAGCACACAAGGAAACAAAACAUGAUGAGAGAACUAGCAGAAGUAGCUGAUGGAGAGAAAGAGACCCACAAGUUCUUUAUGUAUUUCACUGUCAGAGACAAAUAAAUCUGUGUAUUAUGCUCAUAGAAAUAAAAGCAAGCUUGUAAAUAUCUUCAGGGAAUAGGUCACAAUGAAAAGUGACCGGGCAGGUGUGAAAGAGACCAAAUAGAUCUUCUGGAAAUAAAAAUACAAAGCUGCAAUUAAAAAAACCUUAAUGGAUUACCAUUAGACAACGUAUUAGAUCAAGUCAAGGAGAGGUUAGUAAAUUGGAUAAUAUGUUCUCAGAAAUUGUCCAAAAUGUUGCAUAGGGAAGAACGUGACAGAAAAUAGGGAAGAGAGGUUAAAAGACAUGGAGGGUAGAGUGAAAAUUUCUAAUGUGCAUUUAACUGGGUUCAAAAAGGAAGGAAAGAAUGGGUCAGAAGCAUCUCUUUGUGAAGAUAAUGACUGACAUUUUCUCAGAAUUGUUGAAAUAUAUCAAGCCAAAAAUUCGCAAGCAGAGCACCAAAGGCAAAGAGAAAAUUCUAUAAAAGCAAANAAAAAAAAAAAAAAAAAAAAAAAAAAAAAAAAA